rnacentral:rRNA from 1 species
CGGCAUGCCUAAUACAUGCAAGUCGAACGAGAGGAAGGAAAGCUUGCUUUUCUGAAUCUAGUGGCGAACGGGUGAGUAACACGUAGGUAACCUGCCCAUGUGCCCGGGAUAACUUCUGGAAACGGAUGCUAAAACCGGAUAGGUAGCAGACAAGCAUUUGACUGCUAUUAAAGUAGCUAAGGCCAUGAACAUGGAUGGACCUGCGGUGCAUUAGCUAGUUGGUGAGGUAACGGCCCACCAAGGCGACGAUGCAUAGCCGGCCUGAGAGGGCGGACGGCCACAUUGGGACUGAGACACGGCCCAAGCUCCUACGGGAGGCAGCAGUAGGGAAUUUUCGUCAAUGGGGGGAACCCUGAACGAGCAAUGCCGCGUGAGUGAGGAAGGUCUUCGGAUCGUAAAGCUCUGUUGUAAGAGAAAAACGACAUUCAUAGGGAAUGAUGAGUGAGUGAUGGUAUCUUACCAGAAAGUCACGGCUAACUACGUGCCAGCAGCCGCGGUAAUACGUAGGUGGCGAGCGUUAUCCGGAAUGAUUGGGCGUAAAGGGUGCGUAGGUGGCAGAACAAGUCUGGAGUAAAAGGUAUGGGCUCAACCCGUACUGGCUCUGGAAACUGUUCAGCUAGAGAACAGAAGAGGACGGCGGAACUCCAUGUGUAGCGGUAAAAUGCGUAGAUAUAUGGAAGAACACCGGUGGCGAAGGCGGCCCUCUGGGCCGAGACCGACGCUGAGGCGCGAAAGCUGGGGGAGCGAACAGGAUUAGAUACCCUGGUAGUCCCAGCCGUAAACGAUGGACGCUAGGUGUGGGGGGGGCGAUCCCCCCGUGCCGCAGCCAACGCAUUAAGCGUCCCGCCUGGGGAGUACGGCCGCAAGGCUAAAACUCAAAGGAAUUGACGGGGGCCCGCACAAGCAGCGGAGCAUGUGGCUUAAUUCGAAGCAACGCGAAGAACCUUACCAGGGCUUGACAUAUGGGUGAAGCGGGGGAGACCCCGUGGCCGAGAGGAGCCCAUACAGGUGGUGCAUGGCUGUCGUCAGCUCGUGUCGUGAGAUGUUGGGUUAAGUCCCGCAACGAGCGCAACCCCCGCCGCGUGUUGCCAUCGGGUGAUGCCGGGAACCCACGCGGGACCGCCGCCGUCAAGGCGGAGGAGGGCGGGGACGACGUCAAGUCAUCAUGCCCCUUAUGCCCUGGGCUGCACACGUGCUACAAUGGCCGGUACAGAGGGAUGCCACCCCGCGAGGGGGAGCGGAUCCCGGAAAGCCGGCCCCAGUUCGGAUUGGGGGCUGCAACCCGCCCCCAUGAAGUCGGAGUUGCUAGUAAUCGCGGAUCAGCAUGCCGCGGUGAAUGCGUUCCCGGGCCUUGUACUCAAAGCCCGUCAA